UGCGAAGUUUGCAAUUUUCAGUCAUUUUGCAUUACAAACGGGAAAUUGCAGCCCCAACACCCGAAUCGGAUGUCAAUUUCCCGUUUGUAAUACAAAAUGACUGAAAAACGGCAAACUUCGCAAAGCUAUAUUAUCCGCACUUUACAAGAUUUUGCAACAAAACUUUGGAAUAUUACUAAUUUUGUGAUGCUCUUUCAAGCUGUGAUGAAAUUUUUGUCUAGAUCGAAAUUUUAGUUAUAAGGGGAAAGGUCCAUUG
rnacentral:lncRNA from 1 species